AUUGAACGCUGGCGGCAGGCCUAACACAUGCAAGUCGAACGAGUGGCGGACGGGUGAGUAAUGUCUGGGAAACUGCCCGAUGGAGGGGGAUAACUACUGGAAACGGUAGCUAAUACCGCAUACCAUCGGAUGAGCCCAGAUGGGAUUAGCUAGUAGGUGGGGUAAAGGCUCACCUAGGCGACGAUCCCUAGCUGUUCUGAGAGGAUGACCAGCCAAACUGGAAAUCAGUCACGGUCCAGACACCUACGUGAGGCGUCAGUGGGGAAUAUUGCACAAUUGGUGCAGUCCUGAUGCAGCCAUGCCGCGUGUAUGAAGAAGGCCUUCGGGUUGUAAAGUACUUGCAGCGGGGAGGCUUUACCCGCAGAAGAAGCACCGGCUAACUCCGUGCCAGCAGCCGCGGUAAUAC
rnacentral:rRNA from 1 species